CAGCUGGCCACCUCUCCGGGCCCUUAGUCGUGGGGGGCAUCUUGGCGGAGGGUACUUUAGGGUUCAUGGAGCUCCUGGCUCAAAUUACAAGCAAAAGUACUUGAAGGGCGGGAACUUCAGGCUGCUGAGUACCCCCUUGGCCGAGGGAGGGGACCAGGCCUUCCUCACACCUACUUUACUCAGGUCAACCACAAGAGUCUGGACUUCCAGAUCAAGUACGGGUCCAGCCUGCAGCACCUCCACGGGGUAGUGAGCCAGCUGGAGGCCCACCUGGAGCAGUCUGGCAGCCUCAGCACCCUGCUGGCCCUCGUGGAGCAGUUCACCUACAGGCUGGGCCAGCUGGCGCCAGGGCAGGCCGAGGAGGCGCACCUACCGGCGCUGGAGUCAGACACAGACACACUGACCGGCAAGCAGCAGUUGAUCUCAAAAACCUUGGGUA